rnacentral:lncRNA from 1 species
CUCCAUCUCAAAAGAAAAAAAAAAGAAAGAAAAUGGAGGAAGGAGACCCACCAUGAGCCAAGGAAUGCAGAUGGCUUCUCAAAGCUGAGAACAGUCCUUAGCUGAUAGCCAGAGCAAGAUAAUAAAGACCUCAGUUCUACAAUCACAAGGAACUGAAUUCUGCCAACAACCUGAAUGCACCAAGAGACAGACUCUUCCAAAGAUCCCUCAGAAAGAGACACAGACGUGCAGGUAUCUUGAUUUCAGCCUCACAGACACCCAUGUCAGACUUCUGACCUGCAGAACUCUAAGAUCUAAAAGGAUUAGGUAUAGUCUCCAGUUCCAACCUCAGGACAGCAGGAGUGAUAAGUCAUGGACGGCGCCAUGAGGAUACAGAAGAGGCUGCUAAAAGGAGCUCUGACAAAAGCAAAAGUGGUCAUUGAUAUCAAGGUAGAAGGAAAAGAAGACAAAAGAUGUACCAGAACUUCACUUUUUACCACUGACACGAGCUACUUCUUUGUUGAAUCAGGUCUAGACAACUAGCAAAACAAUAAAUCAAAUAAUGACUUCUAGCAUCAGCCAAUUUCUGCAACCAUGAUAUCCGUGAAGGCAGAGCUGGGAAAAGAAGAGCCGUAGCAGCACACCAUAUUACAGUGUUUCUCCUAUUCAAAUACAAGAGAUCUAAAUUACCUCAAGGCCAUAGAAAACAGUGAAAUUUGGUAAUUAGUUAAGUAAUGAUUUUAAGUAUUUACUAACUUUGUUUUUGAUAUAAUUUACCUAUAAGCUUAUAUAAGUAAUUUUUAAUAAAGUCUGUGUUAAAGAAUCAGCUCACACAAAAACUCAAUAGGCUCUCAUGAGCCAGCACAAGCGGGCUUCACCACAUCACUUACAACUAACUUGAAUAAGAUCACACCAUUAGGAAGUAACAGUGCUAAGAUUUGUAUUCA